rnacentral:rRNA from 1 species
GACAGAGGGCGCGGGCGUAUUCGUUUUGAUUGGGUGUAAAGGGUACGUAGGUGGUUCUCUGUUGUUUGGCGAAAAGUGCGGGGUGUUCCCACGCAGUUGCCUUUCGAGGUGAGAUCUUGAGUCAUAGAGGGAUAGGGGCAAGUUGUUGUGUAGGGGUAAAAUCCUACUAUAUAGGAACGAACUCCGGCCGGCGAAGGCGCCUUUUCGGUUAUGACUGACGCUCAGGUACGGAAGCGCGGGGAGCCAAUGGG